CCCUUAGAUGUUCUGGGCCGCACACGCGCUACACUGAAGGAGGCAGCGUGUACUCCUGGAUCGAAAGAUUUGGGUAACCCGCGAAUCUCCUUCGUGCUAGGGAUUGAGGUUUGCAAUUAUCCUUCAUGAACGAGGAAUUCCCAGUAAGUGCAAGUCAUAAGCUUGCGCUGACUACGUCCCUGCCCUUUGUACACACCGCCCGUCGCUACUACCGAUUGAAUGAUUUGGUGAGGACUUCGGACUGGGACCGAUGCGGCUUUCGGGCUGCGUCGGUAUUCUGGAAAGAUGUCCAAACUGUAUCAUUUAGAGGAAGUAAAAGUCGUAACA
rnacentral:rRNA from 1 species